CCUACGGGAGGCAGCAGUAGGGAAUCUUUCACAAUGGGCGAAAGCCUGAUGGAGCAACGCCGCGUGCAGGAUGAAGGCCUUCGGGUUGUAAACUGCUUUUAUAAGCGAGAAAUAUGAUGGUAACUUAUGAAUAAGGAUCGGCUAACUACGUGCCAGCAGCCGCCGUCAUACGUAGGAUGCGAGCAUUGUCCGGAGUGACUGGGUGUAAAGAGUUGCGUAGGUGGCAUAAUAAGUAGCUAGUGUAAUCUGGUGGCUCAACCAUUCAGACUAUUAGCUAAACUGUUAAGCUCGAGAACGUUAGGGGUAACUGGAAUUUCUAGUGUAGGAGUGAAAUCCGUAGAUAUUAGAAAGAACACCAGUGGCGUAGGCAGGUUACUGGAACGGUUCUGACACUAAGGCACGAAAGUGUAGGGAGCAAACGGGAUUAGAUACCCGUGUAGUC
rnacentral:rRNA from 1 species